GGGUGAUUUAUUCUGGGCCCUCCAAAACAAAUCUAACGGCUGAGAUUCGUCCACGUCAUCACGUGUAAAAAUUUUACUCCCAGUAAAACUUUUACUCCUGAAAUUUUACUCCCAGUAAAAUUUUUACUCCUGAGUAACUGUGCGAGUUAAAUUUUUACUCAUGAUGACGUGAAAGAAUCUAAGCUGUUGGAUUUAUUUUGUAGGGCCUAGAUUCACCC
rnacentral:pre_miRNA from 1 species